GAUGAAGAACGCAGCGAAAUGCGAUACGUAGUGUGAAUUGCAGAAUUCAGUGAAUCAUCGAAUCUUUGAACGCACAUUGCACCUCUCGGUAUUCCGGGAGGUAUGCCUGUUCGAGCGUCAUUACAACCCUCAAGCUCUGCUUGGUGUUGGGCCCCGCCGCCCCGGCGGGCCCUAAAGUCAGUGGCGGUGCCGUCCGGCUCCGAGCGUAGUAAUUUUUCUCGCUUUGGAGGCCCGGGCGCGUGCUCGCCAUCAACCCCCAAUUUUUUUCAGGUUGACCUCGGAUCAGGUAGGGAUACCCGCUGAACUUAAGCAUAUCAAUAAGCGGAGGA
rnacentral:misc_RNA from 1 species